CGGGGUGUGGCGCAGUUGGCUAGCGUACUAGUAUGGGGUACUAGUGGUCGGAAGUUCGAGUCUUCUCACCCCGA
rnacentral:tRNA from 1 species